AUUUCUGAAAACAAACAUCACUCUCAGUUUCACAGGGUCGCCCCAUGUUUGCCCGCAGCUCCAAGCUGCGCUCGCAGUGCCAGUACUGCCUUGUACCCGACACAGGCAAAGAACGUGGGGGGUCGAGGGUGGACUCCACCGACUGGUACCGCCCGCAAGGACACCGGACCCCGCGAAGGCGGAGACAGUGGCGAAGUGGCCAGGACUCACCCCUCCUCCGUAUCCCGGGUUCCUAAGGAAAGGAAUUAUACUGUGUACCACAACAAAUGAGGACUUCUGAGCAGUGACAAUGCCAGGUACAAUGGAUGUGGGUGCAACAAGUCCAGUAUGUGCACCACCCAGGCUCCACUCAUCUUGGCUGAUCUCGGUUACUCAUCUUACCUUUCCCUUUAAUCACAAAGUUCAAUUGCUACAACUACACUAUGAAAAAUGAAAAGCUGGCAGCACACUCAGACACAAUGUUUGAGGGACUUCAAUCAAGUCACUGUUUACAAAGCUGUUGAUACAGGUGGAAUAUAGAGCAUCCCACACUCAGCUGCAAGGAGC